rnacentral:rRNA from 1 species
GAUUAACGCUGGCGGCGUGCAUAACACAUGCAAGUCGAACGAGUGGCGAACGGGUGAGUAAUACGUGAGUAACCUGCCCUCUUUUUGGGAUAAGCCUUGGAAACGGGGUCUAAUACCGGAUAAAGGGGGAUGGGGUCGCGGCCUAUCAGCUUGUUGGUGGGGUGAUGGCCUACCAAGGCGGUGACGGGUAGCCGGCCGGAGAUGGUGACCGGCCACUGUGGGACUGAGCUACGGCCCAGACUCCUACGGGGGGCAGCAGUGGGGGAUAUUGCACAAUGGGCGAAAGACUGAUGCAGCGACGGCGCGUAGGGGCUGAAGGCUUUCGGGUUGUAAACGUCGUGCGCUAGCGAACGGGUAGGUGGAGAAGAAGCGCCGGCUAACUACGUGCCAGCAGCCGCGGUAAUAC